GAGGGCAUAGCUCAAUGGUAGAGUGCAUGUUUAGCAUGCAUGAGGUCCUGGGUUCAACCCCCAGUACCUCCA
rnacentral:tRNA from 1 species